rnacentral:rRNA from 1 species
GGAUUAGGCAUGCAAGUCGCACGAGAAAGGCUUCUUCGGAAGCCGAGUAAAGUGGCGAACGGGUGAGUAAUGCAUAGACAACUCGCCCUUGAGAUGGGGACAACGCCUCGAAAAGGGGUGCUAAUACCCAAUGCCGCCUUGGGCGUGCGGGUCCAGGGUGAAAGGAGGCCUCUGAUUCAAGCUUCCGCUCAAGGAGAGGUUUAUGUCCUAUUAGCUAGUUGGCGGGGUAACGGCCCACCAAGGCUGCGAUGGGUAGCCGACCUGAGAGGGUGACCGGCCACAUUGGGACUGAGACACUGCCCAGACUCCUACGGGAGGCUGCAGUCGAGAAUCUUCCGCAAUGCGCGCAAGCGUGACGGAGCGACGCCGCGUGGGUGAUGAAGGCCUUCGGGUUGUAAAACCCUGUCAGCUACUACGAAACACGGGCGAUGAACAAUCGUCCCAUCUGACUUAAGUAGCAGAGGAAGCACCGGCUAACUACGUGCCAGCAGCCGCGGUAAUACGUAGGGUGCGAACGUUGUUCGGAAUCACUGGGCAUAAAGGGCGCGUAGGCGGUCUGAUAAGUCAGGUGUGAAAUCCCUCGGCCUAACCGAGGAACUGCAUUUGAUACUGUCGGGCUAGAGUACAGGAGGGGAGAGUGGAAUUCCUGGUGGAGCGGUGAAAUGCGUAGAUAUCAGGAGGAACGCCGGCGGCGAAAGCGACUCUCUGGCCUGUUACCGACGCUGAGGCGCGAAAGCUAGGGGAGCAAACGGGAUUAGAUACCCCGGUAGUCCUAGCCCUAAACGAUGAACACUAAGUAGAGGGGUUUU